CACAUGCAAGUCGAGGGGCAUCAGGGAUUAGCAAUAAUCCGCUGGCGACCGGCGCACGGGUGAGUAACACGUAUCCAACCUUCCGAUAACUCGGGGAUAGCCUUUCGAAAGAAAGAUUAAUACUCGAUAGUAUAUUUUCUUCGCAUGUUGAAAAUAUUAAAGAAUUUCGGUUAUCGAUGGGAAUGCGUUCCAUUAGGCAGUUGGCGGGGUAACGGCCCACCAAACCUACGAUGGAUAGGGGUUCUGAGAGGAAGGUCCCCCACAUUGGAACUGAGACACGGUCCAAACUCCUACGGGAGGCAGCAGUGAGGAAUAUUGGUCAAUGGACGCAAGUCUGAACCAGCCAAGUAGCGUGAAGGAUGACUGCCCUAUGGGUUGUAAACUUCUUUUAUAUGGGAAUAAAGUGCGCCACGUGUGGUGUUUUGUAUGUACCAUUAUGAAUAAGCAUCGGCUAACUCCGUGCCAGCAGCCGCGGUAAUACGGAGGAUGCGAGCGUUAUCCGGAUUUAUUGGGUUUAAAGGGAGCGUAGGUGGGCUGUUAAGUCAGCUGUGAAAGUUUGCGGCUCAACCGUAAAAUUGCAGUUGAUACUGUCAGUCUUGAGUACAGUAGAGGUUAGCGGAAUUCGUGGUGUAGCGGUGAAAUGCUUAGA
rnacentral:rRNA from 1 species